rnacentral:rRNA from 1 species
UUGACCUCGAAUCAGGUAGGGAUACCCGCUKAACUUAAGCA